CUGUCCUGUGUCACGGGUGUCUGCACAUAUUUGUACCGGAGCUGCUCUGCCCUGCUGUGUAGCCUGUAAUAGCACAAGUCCUGGGGACUUGAAAUUAGUAAUGCAGGUUGCAGCUGGGCUCCAGAUUUUAUUAGGAGAUUGACAUAACAUGCUUGGUACUGUUAAGUUGUCCUGUAGAGGUUUGACAUUAGUCCUAACUUCCUUUCAGAUGCAGACAGUACAAAUCGGUGGCAAAGGGCACCAGUCCUGGAUGAGGAACUUCCCAUGAGCUGGAGGUCCAGGCAGAUAGCAGCAGUCAAAGCCCAGUGUGCCAGGGAAUCCACUGGGAGUAUGCUAAGCCCCUGUCAGCAGCUGGCUGAUGGACUGGGUUUGCUGUGCUUGUGAGUCCUCUGGAAGUAUUACAGGACCCUGUGAUGAAGCCUACUGAUUUUGCAUUUCAAGGUCCCAUCCUGGUAGCCCAGAGCAGUGGCCAAGGAGUUGUGGUGAGUCGGGGAGGUAGGGAGGAGGAGUGAGAGUCCACUCAAGUUUCAGCAAUGCCAUGUCACCCUUUCUCCACUUAAUCUAGGUGUACCCUGAGAUGAUGCUGUCGGCCUCCAAGCACGCCUGCGGUGUGUGGCCCGACCAUUCUGAGGAGAAUGGUGAGUAGCAGAAUUGUCAGGUUUUGGCCAUUGUGCUGUUACGGUUGUGCACUGAUGUUUGGUUUUCUUUGUCUUGGCAGACCAAGAGAGAACAGUCUGGUGACAACUGGAGUUUCCCAGACAGGCAGGAGGCCUCGUUCUGCACCCGAUGGAGAUUUGGAUCCCCAGAUAUAUGCCAGAUAAGUCAAGGGCUACAACCCACAGAGGGCAUGGAAGCGAGGUGCCAGGUUGGGACUCCCCAGGAGGGGUUUUUGAGUCAGUUUUGGAUACGGGGAUGUCUAAGAAGCGUCUCCUUAGGCCAGCUGAAGGGAAAGUGUCUGUUUUGAUCACAGUGCUGAGGUGCGCAGGGCAGAGCAGUUCUGGUGUGUGUUCUGUCACUUGUCUCUGGUGCACUCUGUGUUCUUUGGGUCUCUCAGUCCUUUCUUCUCAUCAAAAGCUCUCCCUCCCUGUUCUGUCUCCUGGUUUGUCAUGUCCUGUCCUGUGUCACGGGUGUCUGCACAUAUUUGUACCGGAGCUGCUCUGCCCUGCUGUGUAGCCUGUAAUAGCACAAGUCCUGGGGACUUGAAAUUAGUAAUGCAGGUUGCAGCUGGGCUCCAGAUUUUAUUAGGAGAUUGACAUAACAUGCUUGGUACUGUUAAGUUGUCCUGUAGAGGUUUGACAUUAGUCCUAACUUCCUUUCAGAUGCAGACAGUACAAAUCGGUGGCAAAGGGCACCAGUCCUGGAUGAGGAACUUCCCAUGAGCUGGAGGUCCAGGCAGAUAGCAGCAGUCAAAGCCCAGUGUGCCAGGGAAUCCACUGGGAGUAUGCUAAGCCCCUGUCAGCAGCUGGCUGAUGGACUGGGUUUGCUGUGCUUGUGAGUCCUCUGGAAGUAUUACAGGACCCUGUGAUGAAGCCUACUGAUUUUGCAUUUCAAGGUCCCAUCCUGGUAGCCCAGAGCAGUGGCCAAGGAGUUGUGGUGAGUCGGGGAGGUAGGGAGGAGGAGUGAGAGUCCACUCAAGUUUCAGCAAUGCCAUGUCACCCUUUCUCCACUUAAUCUAGGUGUACCCUGAGAUGAUGCUGUCGGCCUCCAAGCACGCCUGCGGUGUGUGGCCCGACCAUUCUGAGGAGAAUGGUGAGUAGCAGAAUUGUCAGGUUUUGGCCAUUGUGCUGUUACGGUUGUG